rnacentral:rRNA from 1 species
AUUGAACGCUGGCGGCAGGCCUAACACAUGCAAGUCGAGCGGAUGAAGGGAGCUUGCUCCUGGAUUCAGCGGCGGACGGGUGAGUAAUGCCUAGGAAUCUGCCUGGUAGUGGGGGAUAACGUCCGGAAACGGGCGCUAAUACCGCAUACUUCCUGAGGGAGCAAGCGGGGGAGCUUCGGACAUCACGCUAUCAGAUGAGCCUAGGUCGGAUUAGCUAGUUGGUGGGGUAAAGGCCUACCAAGGCGACGAUCCGUAACUGGUCUGAGAGGAUGAUCAGUCACACUGGAACUGAGACACGGUCCAGACUCCUACGGGAGGCAGCAGUGGGGAAUAUUGGGCAAUGGGCGAAAGCCUGAUCCAGCCAUGCCGCGUGUGUGAAGAAGGUCUUCGGAUUGUAAAGCACUUUAAGUUGGGAGGAAGGGCAGUAAGUUAAUACCUUGCUGUUUUGACGUUACCAACAGAAUAAGCACCGGCUAACUUCGUG